rnacentral:lncRNA from 1 species
UUGAUUUGAAAUUAUUGACCUUGAGUUGGGUUGAGAUUAAUUGUAUGUGUUGAAAAGGUUCAAGUUUGGGGUUGAAAAAGAAAAAUGCAUGAGGAAAAGAAAGAAAGAAAAGAAAAGAAAAAGCGUGAAAGAUGAGCUCAAUGUAAAAAUUAAAGGAAAGGGAAGAAGUUGGGAAUUAGUGAGAUUGGUGAAAAAGAGAGUUGUGCUUGAACUUUGAAUAUUAAUGUAGCUCUCUUAACUCAAGGAUUUUGUAUUCCAGUAAAAACCAAUUUUUCUUGUUAGCCCAGCUUCAUUACAAACCUUGGAAAAAUCCUUGUGAUGGCAUUUACAUGUGAAGAUUUUGAUUGUUUUAGAUGAAUGACAAUGUUGUUUUAUGU